UACGUAGGGGGCUGAGCGUUGUCCGGAAUCAUUGGCGUAAAGAGCGUGUAGGCGGCCCGGUAAGUCCGCUGUGAAAGUCGGGGGCUCAACCCUCGAAUGCCGGUGGAUACUGUCGGGCUAGAGUGCGGAAGAGGCGAGUGGAAUUCCUGGUGUAGCGGUGAAAUGCGCAGAUAUCAGGAGGAACACCGAUUGCGAAGGCAGCUCGCUGGGACGUAACUGACGCUGAGAACGGCGAAAGCGUGGGGAGCAAACACGG
rnacentral:rRNA from 1 species